UACGGAGGUGGCAAGCGUUGCUCGGAAUCACUGGGCGUAAAGGGCGCGUAGGCGGGGAGGUAAGUCGGGUGUGAAAUCCCUCGGCCCAACCGAGGAACUGCGCCCGAGACUGCUUCUCUUGAGUCCCGGAGAGGAAGAUGGAAUUCCCGGUGUAGCGGUGAAAUGCGCAGAUAUCAGGAGGAACACCGGUGGCGAAGGCGGUUCUCUGGGCAUUACCUGACGCUGAGGAGCGAAAGUGUGGGGAGCGAACAGG
rnacentral:rRNA from 1 species